UGGCGGACGGGUGAGUAACGCGUGGGUAACCUGCCUUGCACUGGGGGAUAACACUUAGAAAUAGGUGCUAAUACCGCAUAAGCGCACGGUCCCGCAUGGGACAGUGUGAAAAACUCCGGUGGUGCAAGAUGGACCCGCGUCUGAUUAGCUGGUUGGCGGGGUAAAGGCCCACCAAGGCGACGAUCAGUAGCCGGCCUGAGAGGGUGGACGGCCACAUUGGGACUGAGACACGGCCCAAACUCCUACGGGAGGCAGCAG
rnacentral:rRNA from 1 species